CUACGGGAUGCUGCAGCUAAGAAUCUUCCGCAAUGGACGAAAGUCUGACGGAGCGACGCCGCGUGGAUGAUGAAUGCCGAGAGGUUGUAAAGUCCUUUUAUCAGAGAAGAAUAAUCAUGUCAGGGAAUGGGCGUGAGAUGACGUUAUCUGAUGAAUAAGCUCCGGCCAAUUACGUGCCAGCAGCCGCGGUAACACGUAAGGAGCGAGCGUUGUUCGGAAUUAUUGGGCGUAAAGGGCAAGCAGGCGGCCUUGUAAGUCUGGCGUGAAAUACCGUGGCUCAACCACGGAAACGCGCUGGAAACUGUGAGGCUAGAAUCCGUGAGGGGUAUGUGGAAUUCCUGGUGUAGGGGUGAAAUCUGUUGAUAUCAGGAAGAACACCUGAGGCGAAGGCGACAUACUGGCACUGGAUUGACGCUGAGAUGCGAAAGCGUAGGGAGUGAACAGGAUUAGAUACCCGGGUAGUC
rnacentral:rRNA from 1 species